rnacentral:rRNA from 1 species
CACACGACUCUCGGCAACGGAUAUCUAGGCUCUCGCAUCGAUGAAGAACGUAGCGAAAUGCGAUACCUGGUGUGAAUUGCAGAAUCCCGUGAACCAUCGAGUCUUUGAACGCAAGUUGCUCCCGAGGCCAUUCGGCCGAGGGCACGCCUGCCUGGGCGUCACGC